GCUAACGAAGUGUUCUUGGUUAGGAUGAGCAGGCAACAUGCCUAAAUACUUCAGAUUAUCCUAUACAUUUCCUUUAUUAACAAAGAGCAACCUAUAAUCUGUUAGGCAUUACAUCUCUGUUUUGCGCAGAAAAUUCAGAAAUUAGCCUGCUUUCGGAAAGGACUUCUCAAGAUUGGUUUGACAUUUUGUUCCGGUGGUCACAAAAUACUCAUGGGAUUUUAUUUGAAUGAUUAUUUCUGAUAUUAUGGCGAACUAAUUAUGAGCAGUUUGGUGUGGUGUUUGGUUUCAAUGGAGAAUUUGGUGUGCAGGAGUUUCUGAAUCUGAAGCAAGGGUGAGCACCAAGGAAGGAAGCGUAGCCACGGGCGACGGUGGCGGGGCUGGUCGCUGGCGGCCGCAAUUAUUAAUCGUUGUUCCUGAAAUACACAAUCACUUGCUGCACAAUCUCAACUAGGAGGAGAAGUCUUCUUAUGUGGCNNNNNNNNNNNNNNNNNNNNNNNNNNNNNNNNNNNNNNNNNNNNNNNNNNNNNNNNNNNACAUAUUAUUAGCACUUACCCUGGUGAAGACCCAUUCUUGAAGAAGUACUUGCCAAUUGACCUGUCCGGCAACCAACUAUUUUAUCUUAUUAGGGAUGGUUUCCUGCUCUGGUGAGAUGGCUUUCUGGCUAGCUGCAGGGUGCAUGCUCAUUUAGUAUUUGGACAUAAAUUGUUUGCUAGCCGUAGCUGAUGUUAAUUCAUUGACCAAUAGGUUGAUCUAUGUAGCUUUACAUGGAGCCAUUGAUGAGCGAGAAAUAAAUAAAAAAUAGAGCUAUUAACCCAUGAGAGAGGAAUCAAAAUCACUUGUUGUGCCUCAACUCUGCAAAGGCGAUUGGAUGUACUGUUCUCAACAUUGGCACGCAUGAUUUAGUGGAAGGAAGGGUAUGUCGUGUAUUCCCCUCUUGUUAUCCAUUCUUAUAGGCUAUGAUGUAGUGUGGUUGGUAUAGAAAUGUUGCGCAGCUCUAAACUAUCCUUUUUGCAGUAACCUGAAUAGCGUCUCUCUUUAAUUCUGCCAUAUCAUGUAUAGUGAUGUACUAUAUUGUUGUGAUUAAUUGACAUGUAAACUUAGGUACCAAAUACUCUUAUCAUUGCAAAAUCAUGCUUAUCCUUUGUGCUUGUUCACUGUAUCCUGCCAGAUAAGCAACAGUUAUUAAAUACAUUUUUUUGUUCGACGGGCAAAUUGAGUUGUAGGACUGAAUACAAUGUUAACAAGGGCACUUAAAUGGAUAUUGAGAGAACAAGUGCAGUGGAAGUCGGUUACACG
rnacentral:lncRNA from 1 species